UCAUCAGGUAUUGAAAAUGUAGAUUUAAGCCUUCUCAAUCUCCACACUACUGACAAACAAAGAAGGAAAGAAGAAUGGCGGCCAUAGUAUCCUCCAUGAGACCCUUCAAACACUUCACUGUCUCAUCAAGUGUGUGAAUUGAGAGGCAGGAUGUGGUAGCUGAAUAUCGACUUUCUGAUUCCUGGACAGAAGCUAGGGCUGUGUAUUUGUGGAUCCAGCAAUUCCUUGGAGGUUUACGCCCACCAUAUGCAGGGCUUCAGGAGGAAGAAAGCCUUUCUAGUGGAGGUCAUUAGCAUCACUGGAGGUCAACAGUAGCUGCUGAGGGAGAGACUGACCCAUCUCAAGAAGGGACUGAAGAGAACAAGUACCUGAUUUUGUGACUCACGAAAUAACACAGUCCCCAAAAAGACAAAGGAAAAUGAUUGGCAAAGAUCUCCAACAAAUAUGUUAUUUAACAUAAAAUAUCCUUCUCUGGAAGGAGCUGUAUUUGCUCCCAUCCAAAUUAAGAUAGAGAAGAUUUUUCCGACUGAAACAACAUAUUAAAGGCCAAGGGCAUCCCGAAAUCUCAGAAGAAAACUAUAGCCUGUUGGAAAAUGAGAACUGGACUCUUAUUCUGCUCUGCAUCUGUGUAGAUGAAGCCCCGACACACAGCCUAACGGUUAAUGACUUCUUGAAUCUCACUGCUGCUGCGCUCCAUUCCCUGGCUGCAAAAUGGAGAAAGCACCUGGAUCCACAGUGAUGACAUCUGUCUGACCUAGCAUUUCUCCACCUGCCAUCUCUGACUGACCUUGGCCAUGUCUUUUGGAUGGCUUGGAUGCCACACUCUGCUGUACACUGUCACUCACCAAUCUCACCACUUUGAAUGCUAACCUGAACUCUGCUUGAGUUUGCCUCAUCCCUUGCCCUUUACUAGACUAUUCAUUCAGCUAAAGCAAGAGUAACAACUGUCCUUUCCACAGUUUUUGCUUCUGCUGAGUCUCUGUUGGAAAACAUUCAACAUCCUUAUACCUAAAUCCCCUCAUGUUAUGGACAACAUCUAAGCAAUAAUAAGCGUAAUAGAUAAAAUGAAGUAUCUUAUUAAAUUCAUUAAUUACCUGGUUGAGAAUAGGAUGCUGAAAUAAAAGAAAUCAUGUGUUUUUCUGCUUGUUUUUUUGGGUUUUUUUGUUUUUAUAAGAAAGAGGAACAGUUUCAUGAGAAUCUUCCCAGAAUGGGAAAUUUUAGUGACUUAGCAAAAUUGGGUGCUUGAGCAAUCUGGUGGCGGUAUGAUGUCAGGGGUGUGGAAGAGAACAGACACAAAUGCGCUGAUGAGUAAAUAGAGUUGAUGCAAUGGACAAUACUGAACAUCUAUCCUUAAGCUCUUUUCCAAUGUUUCCUGGGACUCUGGUCAAAACUUCAAAUAAAUCUGCUUUAAAAGUCCCAGUAAGAAAUCUUCCUCUCUCUGCAAAUGGAUGGCUGUUGUCCACUUCUAGGAGACUGUAAUUUAACUCCAUAGAAAAGGUCAAACAAACAUACUCUGAACUGAAGGACACCAGUCCUCAGGUGCAAGCAGGAUUCCUGUACUGAAAAAAAAUAGAUGGACAAGAACAAUUGCAUACUGAAUACUGACACUCUCAGUGGUCUUGUCCAACUAGGUUCCCAGAAUUCUGCCAGCUCAUCUCUCCCAAGACCUGGAAGGUUAUUCUCUGAAGACUCGGACCAACCAAAGGGGAAAAAGCUCAUUAUUCAUGUGUGUAGAUUAGUGAUCAUGGUUAUCUUUGGAUUAUAUAGUGCUUUAUACUUUUCUGUAUUCUUCCCAUUUUCUAUAAUAAGCAUGUAUUUAUUCAUCUUUAAUCAUAAAAAUUAAUAUUCAUGAGUAAAUACUUCUGGGCACUAUGCUAAGCAACUUAAAUUCAUUAUCUCUUUUAAUUCUCACGGUAAUCUUAGAAGUUAGGUAUUAUUUAAUUGUCACUUAAUAAUUGAGGAAACAUGGUCCUAGAGGUUAAAUAAUUGUUCACCAUCAGGUAACUAAUAACUGACUGACUUAGAUUUGAACCCAGUCUGUCUGGCUCCAAGCCAGUGUUGUGACUCAGUACCUUAAAAUGCCUCAAACAAUUUUAAAACGUUUUUCAAAGGAGGGGUUUCUAAACUCCUCAAAUUAUCCAAUCUCUUUAUUUUCAUAUCUUGCUCUAAUAAGCAUCAAAUUAUAUUUCAUAGCCAUUUCUUAUUUCUCCAGUUUCUGAUCUCAUAAUUUGUUUUAUUGUUUGUUUGUUUAUGCCCAGCUACAUCCUUUGAACAUGAUGUUUGAUACCUGACUCUGCUUUAAUUGAUAUAAAUGGUCAGAAGUGCUGUGGGGCUUUGGUAACACCCCUUAGGCAAUGUGUGGAGA
ensembl:lncRNA